rnacentral:rRNA from 1 species
GUUAUAGGGUCAAGCGAACAAGUGCAUGUGGUGGAUGCCUUGGCGAUCACAGGCGAUGAAGGACGCGGUAGCCUGCGAAAAGCUACGGGGAGCUGGCAAACAAGCUUUGAUCCGUAGAUGUCCGAAUGGGGAAACCCACUCCGUAUGGAGUAUCCAUGGCUGAAUACAUAGGCCAUGCGAAGCGAACGCGGUGAACUGAAACAUCUAAGUAACCGCAGGAAAAGAAAUCAACCGAGAUUCCCAAAGUAGUGGCGAGCGAAAUGGGAUGAGCCUUGCACUCUUUAUUUGUAUUGUUAGCCGAACGCUCUGGAAAGUGCGGCCAUAGCAGGUGAUAGCCCUGUAGGCGAAAACAGUAUGAAAGAACUAGGUGUGCGACAAGUAGGGCGGGACACGUGAAAUCCUGUCUGAAGAUGGGGGGACCAUCCUCCAAGGCUAAAUACUCGUGAUCGACCGAUAGUGAACCAGUACCGUGAGGGAAAGGCGAAAAGAACCCCGGGAGGGGAGUGAAAUAGAUCCUGAAACCGCAUGCAUACAAACAGUCGGAGCCUCGUAAGGGGUGACGGCGUACCUUUUGUAUAAUGGGUCAGCGACUUACGUUCAGUAGCAAGCUUAACCGUAUAGGGCAGGCGUAGCGAAAGCGAGUCCGAAUAGGGCGUUCAGUUGCUGGGCGUAGACCCGAAACCAGGUGAUCUAUCCAUGGCCAGGAUGAAGGUGCGGUAACACGUACUGGAGGUCCGAACCCACUAACGUUGAAAAGUUAGGGGAUGAGCUGUGGAUAGGGGUGAAAGGCUAAACAAACCUGGAAAUAGCUGGUUCUCUCCGAAAACUAUUUAGGUAGUGCCUCGUGUCUCACCUUCGGGGGUAGAGCACUGUCAUGGUUGGGGGGUCUAUUGCAGAUU